UACGUAGGGUGCGAGCAUUGUCCGGAAUUAUUGGGCGUAAAGAGCUCGUAGGCGGCUUGUCGCGUCGGAUGUGAAAGCCCGGGGCUUAACCCCGGGUCUGCAUUCGAUACGGGCAGGCUAGAGUUCGGUAGGGGAGAUCGGAAUUCCUGGUGUAGCGGUGAAAUGCGCAGAUACCAGGAGGAACACCGGUGGCGAAGGCGGAUCUCUGGGCCGAUACUGACGCUGAGGAGCGAAAGCGUGGGGAGCAAACAGG
rnacentral:rRNA from 1 species